ACAUGCCUACAGCAUAGCGUUAAUGCAUCGGAUCCCAUUAGAACUCCACAAUUAAGAGUGCUCGGGCUAGAGUAGUACCGGGAUGUCACCCAGGAAGUCCUAAUAUUUUACAUGCC
rnacentral:rRNA from 1 species